CUUAGAAGCAGCCAUCAUUUAAAGAAAGCGUAAUAGCUCACUGGUCGAGUCGGCCUGCGCGGAAGAUGUAACGGGGCUAAACCAUGCACCGAAGCUGCGGCAGCGACGCUGAUGCGUUGUUGGGUAGGGGAGCGUUCUGUAAGCCUGCGAAGGUGGCCUGUGAGGGUUGCUGGAGGUAUCAGAAGUGCGAAUGCUGACAUAAGUAACGAUAAAGCGGGUGAAAAGCCCGCUCGCCGGAAGACCAAGGGUUCCUGUCCAACGUUAAUCGGGGCAGGGUGAGUCGACCCCUAAGGCGAGGCCGAAAGGCGUAGUCGAUGGGAAACGGGUUAAUAUUCCCGUACUUGGUGUUACUGCGAAGGGGGGACGGAGAAGGCUAUGUUGGCCGGGCGACGGUUGUCCCGGUUUAAGCGUGUAGGUGUGUGUUCCAGGUAAAUCCGGUUCACUUUAACACUGAGGCGUGAUGACGAGGCACUACGGUGCUGAAGCAACAAAUGCCCUGCUUCCAGGAAAAGCCUCUAAGCAUCAGGUAACAUCAAAUCGUACCCCAAACCGACACAGGUGGUCAGGUAGAGAAUACCAAGGCGCUUGAGAGAACUCGGGUGAAGGAACUAGGCAAAAUGGUGCCGUAACUUCGGGAGAAGGCACGCUGACACGUAGGUGAAGUGAUUUACUCAUGGAGCUGAAGUCAGUCGAAGAUACCAGCUGGCUGCAACUGUUUAUUAAAAACACAGCACUGUGCAAACACGAAAGUGGACGUAUACGGUGUGACGCCUGCCCGGUGCCGGAAGGUUAAUUGAUGGGGUCAGCGCAAGCGAAGCUCCUGAUCGAAGCCCCGGUAAACGGCGGCCGUAACUAUAACGGUCCUAAGGUAGCGAAAUUCCUUGUCGGGUAAGUUCCGACCUGCACGAAUGGCGUAAUGAUGGCCAGGCUGUCUCCACCCGAGACUCAGUGAAAUUGAACUCGCUGUGAAGAUGCAGUGUACCCGCGGCAAGACGGAAAGACCCCGUGAACCUUUACUAUAGCUUGACACUGAACAUUGAGCCUUGAUGUGUAGGAUAGGUGGGAGGCUUUGAAGUGUGGACGCCAGUCUGCAUGGAGCCGGCCUUGAAAUACCACCCUUUAAUGUUUGAUGUUCUAACGUGGACCCGUGAUCCGGGUUGCGGACAGUGUCUGGUGGGUAGUUUGACUGGGGCGGUCUCCUCCUAAAGAGUAACGGAGGAGCACGAAGGUUGGCUAAUCCUGGUCGGACAUCAGGAGGUUAGUGCAAUGGCAUAAGCCAGCUUGACUGCGAGCGUGACGGCGCGAGCAGGUGCGAAAGCAGGUCAUAGUGAUCCGGUGGUUCUGAAUGGAAGGGCCAUCGCUCAACGGAUAAAAGGUACUCCGGGGAUAACAGGCUGAUACCGCCCAAGAGUUCAUAUCGACGGCGGUGUUUGGCACCUCGAUGUCGGCUCAUCACAUCCUGGGGCUGAAGUAGGUCCCAAGGGUAUGGCUGUUCGCCAUUUAAAGUGGUACGCGAGCUGGGUUUAGAACGUCGUGAGACAGUUCGGUCCCUAUCUGCCGUGGGCGCUGGAGAACUGAGGGGGGCUGCUCCUAGUACGAGAGGACCGGAGUGGACGCAUCACUGGUGUUCGGGUUGUCAUGCCAAUGGCACUGCCCGGUAGCUAAAUGCGGAAGAGAUAAGUGCUGAAAGCAUCUAAGCACGAAACUUGCCCCGAGAUGAGUUCUCCCUGAGACUUAGAGUCUCCUGAAGGAACGUUGAAGACGACGACGUUGAUAGGCCGGGUGUGUAAGCGCAGCGAUGCGUUGAGCUAACCGGUACUAAUGAACCGUGAGGCUUAACCUUACA
rnacentral:rRNA from 1 species